rnacentral:rRNA from 1 species
CCUACGUGGGCUGCAGUGGGGAAUAUUGGACAAUGGGCGAAAGCCUGAUCCAGCCAUGCCGCGUGUGUGAAGAAGGCCUUCGGGUUGUAAAGCACUUUCAGUGGGGAAGAAAGCCUUGGGGCUAAUACCCUCGAGGAAGGACAUCACCCACAGAAGAAGCACCGGCUAACUCCGUGCCAGCAGCCGCGGUAAUACGGAGGGUGCGAGCGUUAAUCGGAAUUACUGGGCGUAAAGCGCGCGUAGGCGGUCUGAUAAGCCGGUUGUGAAAGCCCCGGGCUCAACCUGGGAACGGCAUCCGGAACUGUCAGGCUAGAGUGCAGGAGAGGAAGGUAGAAUUCCCGGUGUAGCGGUGAAAUGCGUAGAGAUCGGGAGGAAUACCAGUGGCGAAGGCGGCCUUCUGGACUGACACUGACGCUGAGGUGCGAAAGCGUGGGUAGCAAACAGGAUUAGAUACCCGAGUAGUC